GAUGAACGCUGGCGGCGUGCCUAACACAUGCAAGUCGAGCGAUUCUCUUCGGAGAAGAGCGGCGGACGGGUGAGUAACGCGUGGGUAACCUGCCCAGUACACACGGAUAACAUACCGAAAGGUAUGCUAAUACGAGAUAAUAUACUUUUAUCGCAUGGUAGAAGUAUCAAAGCUUUUGCGGUACAGGAUGGACCCGCGUCUGAUUAGCUAGUUGGUAAGGUAACGGCUUACCAAGGCGACGAUCAGUAGCCGACCUGAGAGGGUGAUCGGCCACAUUGGAACUGAGACACGGUCCAAACUCCUACGGGAGGCAGCAGUGGGGAAUAUUGCACAAUGGGCGAAAGCCUGAUGCAGCAACGCCGCGUGAGCGAUGAAGGCCUUCGGGUCGUAAAGCUCUGUCCUCAAGGAAGAUAAUGACGGUACUUGAGGAGAAAGCCCCGGCUACUACGUGCCAGCCGCCGCUGUAAUAC
rnacentral:rRNA from 1 species